UAAGACUGGGAUAACUUCGGGAAACCGGAGCUAAUACCGGAUAAUAUUUUGAACCGCAUGGUUCAAAAGUGAAAGACGGUCUUGCUGUCACUUAUAGAUGGAUCCGCGCUGCAUUAGCUAGUUGGUAAGGUAACGGCUUACCAAGGCAACGAUGCAUAGCCGACCUGAGAGGGUGAUCGGCCACACUGGAACUGAGACACGGUCCAGACUCCUACGGGAGGCAGCAGUAGGGAAUCUUCCGCAAUGGGCGAAAGCCUGACGGAGCAACGCCGCGUGAGUGAUGAAGGUCUUCGGAUCGUAAAACUCUGUUAUUAGGGAAGAACAUAUGUGUAAGUAACUGUGCACAUCUUGACGGUACCUAAUCAGAAAGCCACGGCUAACUACGUGCCAGCAGCCGCGGUAAUACGUAGGUGGCAAGCGUUAUCCGGAAUUAUUGGGCGUAAAGCGCGCGUAGGCGGUUUUUUAAGUCUGAUGUGAAAGCCCACGGCUCAACCGUGGAGGGUCAUUGGAAACUGGAAAACUUGAGUGCAGAAGAGGAAAGUGGAAUUCCAUGUGUAGCGGUGAAAUGCGCAGAGAUAUGGAGGAACACCAGUGGCGAAGGCGACUUUCUGGUCUGUAACUGACGCUGAUGUGCGAAAGCGUGGGGAUCAAACAGGAUUAGAUACCCUGGUAGUCCACGCCGUAAACGAUGAGUGCUAAGUGUUAGGGGGUUUCCGCCCCUUAGUGCUGCAGCUAACGCAUUAAGCACUCCGCCUGGGGAGUACGACCGCAAGGUUGAAACUCAAAGGAAUUGACGGGGACCCGCACAAGCGGUGGAGCAUGUGGUUUAAUUCGAAGCAACGCGAAGAACCUUACCAAAUCUUGACAUCCUUUGACAACUCUAGAGAUAGAGCYUUCCCCUUCGGGGGACAAAGUGACAGGUGGUGCAUGGUUGUCGUCAGCUCGUGUCGUGAGAUGUUGGGUUAAGUCCCGCAACGAGCGCAACCCUUAAGCUUAGUUGCCAUCAUUAAGUUGGGCACUCUAAGUUGACUGCCGGUGACAAACCGGAGGAAGGUGGGGAUGACGUCAAAUCAUCAUGCCCCUUAUGAUUUGGGCUACACACGUGCUACAAUGGACAAUACAAAGGGCAGCGAAACCGCGAGG
rnacentral:rRNA from 1 species